rnacentral:rRNA from 1 species
GCAACGAGCGCAACCCCUAUCUUUAGUUGCCAUCAUUGAGUUGGGCACUCUAAAGAGACUGCCGGUGUCAAACCGGAGGAAGGUGGGGGAUGACGUCAAGUCCUCAUGGCCUUUAUGACCAGGGCUACACACGUACUACAAUGGCCGGUACAAAGGGCAGCGACACAGCGAUGUGAAGCAAUCCCGAAAAGCCGGUCUCAGUCCGGAUUGGAGUCUGCAACUCGACUCCAUGAAGUUGGAAUCGCUAGUAAUCGCGGAUCAGCACGCCGCGGUGAAUACGUUCCCGGGCCUU